AUGUUUGGUUUUAUAACACGCAGGUUGGACAGGAGAAGGCAACGGAAGAUAAAGGACUGGGCCAAGCAUCAUUCUGCGUAUGUUACCCGCUUCCAGCUUUGUGUGGAGCAAGCUCGUAGCACUGCACGCGCCCCGCUUCGUGAGCACAACUCACUUGCUUUUGAUAACUACGUACGAUGGUUUAUUGGAACUACUCGAGUUGAGAUAUGCCCGCCGGCAUAUAAUGAGGAUAUUCUUGAAGAACCCGUAAACUUUGAGGGUCUAGCAAAGGGGAAGUACAACAGAGAUGUCAGGCUAGGGCAAGGAGUCCCUGCUGUUCCGGUGAUUAACUAUGUGGUAAAGUGUUCCCCUCUUUACUUUCCUGUUAACCGUAUUACACAUGUUUGA
rnacentral:rRNA from 1 species